UGAAAUAAGAUAAAAGAUCUGACCUGCCCGGUGAAUAUAUAAUUAAACGGCUGCGGUAAAUUAACCGUACAAAGGUAGCAUAAUCAAUUGUCUAUUAAUUGUAGACUGGAAUGAAUGGUUUGACUUAAAAAUAAUUGUCUUUAUAAUAUUAUGAAUUUAAAAUAUUUAUGAAGAUGGGAAUAUGAAUUUAUAAAACGAGAAGACCCUAUUGAGCUUUAUAUAAUAUUAAAUAAUUAAGUAUAGAUUACUGAAUUUAAUUUUGUAUUGUGCUGGGGCGGUUAAGAAUAAACUAUUUAUUAAUUAAUAAUUUUUAAUGGUUUAAGAUCCAAUAUUAUUGAUUAUUAGAUUAAGCUACCAUAGGGAUAACAGCGUAAUUUUAUUUAAGAGUUCUAAUUGAUAAUAAAGUUUGCGACCUCGAUGUUGGGUUAGGAUUCCUAAUUAAUGAAGUAGUUAAUAAAGGUAGUCUGUUCGACUAUAAAAUUCC
rnacentral:rRNA from 1 species